rnacentral:lncRNA from 1 species
CAACAUUGAUUACAUUUUAUUUAGCUCAGAGCUACUGCAGAGGAAACAUUCAACAUCUGUAUUUAGCCGUAACACAGCGCCACGGUAAGUGCACUCAGUGACAAAUGGUAAGAAGAUUCCCUAUUUUUUUGCUUUUAAAUUCUGUAAAUUGAGGUACUAAACAGUUUAUUCAAACAUUAAAUUGAAUCAUUACAAUAUGUUUACAUUUAUGGUAUGCUGCAGUGCAAUAAUUUGUACUAAAUUGUAAAUCAGUGCAUCCCAAAGGCCCAGGUUUUAUCAAUCGUAUAGUUGGAAUAGAAGGCAUUUAUCUAGAAACACGUAAAAAAUGAAUGGAAAUUGAUUUGGGAGCAACUGUUAAACAAAAUGCCGACUUUUGUAUCAGGAUGUGCAAUUUCGGGUGAAGGCAAAUACUGUACGAAUAGAAUACAAACUGUCCACAGUGGUUUAGCUAAAUUUACUUGCAGAUUUAGGAAAUAUGUAGUUUGGUUUUAUUUAAUGAGCAGAUUGUGUGGCUAUUAGCCUACUGAGCAGUUAUUUAGAUAUAACAAAACGUAUUACUUUUUAAUGUUAAUGAGUUUCUGUCUGUACAACCAGGAGACUGUUUUGACUAGUUGUGAAAACAUGAAUACUUUAAUUCACAUAACAUGCAGAAAAUGAACUGUGGUAACUUUGCUAACCAGUGCCCAGUUCAAUUUCAGAGCUGGUUAAACUUUUUUGAGACUUCUACAGGAGUCCAAAUUCUCCUUUCUAGCUCCCAAAUGUACUUACUCCAUCACUGCUCCUCAUCUGUUUUUCAAUAUAUACCUGAUUUUUCUUCCCUGUGUUGCCUUAAAGGAGGACACUGAUCCAACCUAUCAGUGUCCUAUUCCUUGGGAUCACAUGUGCAAUUCAACAAUCUGUUAAUGUCAUCCAUGACAUCAAAUGAUCCUAUGACACCAUGAAUGUUCAUUAUGCACGUUCAUGGUUGGCACUCCCCCUAGGUAAUGAAUGUUGCCUAGAUGUCACCAUUAUAAGUCAUUUCAGCUUACCAGACCACUAGUUAUUCAAGCAGACUAUUGGACCACCAGGGGUUCAAACAGGCAAAUGGACUGCCAGAGAAUCAGGCUGCACAGCACACACACUCACCCUGCAAAAACACACUUACUUCCCCACAGUCAUCCUGUUAUACAAACCUACACACCUGUCACACUCAUACCUCAACAGUCAUUCUCCCACACUCACUACCCCCCACAAAUAGUCAUCAUGUCACCCUCAGCACCCUUACACAAUCACAUUGUCACAUUCAGCCACCACACAAAAUCCCACUGUCACAGCCCACACAGAGAUUCACCCUGUCACAUUAACGGCCAAACACAGUUACUCUGAAACGCUCACGCUUUGCAAUCACCCUGUCACAUUCAUCCUUCCACACACAGUCACUCUCAGAACAUGCAUUUCUAAGCAGUGGUGCUUAGACUACAACAUAUACAAAGUACAGUAAAAGGAACAGCACACAAACAAAAAUAGAGUUUUACAUUUAACAAGGCUACUUAAAAUCAUCUAUCUUAGCAAAUAAAUAUGGGGAUUCAGUUCCACCAUAUGGCCAUUUUGUGUUAAGUCCACCACUACGUCACAGUACCCCAAUAUUAGUGGGUCCUACACUAAUUUUUACAUAGGAGAUUUAUAUGCUAACUAGUAAUACUUCCUUGCAGUAUAAACUGCUUCAAGAGACUCCUCAAUUUACGCUUUCCUGUGGUCACCUCCAAAGGGAUGGGUUGGGUGCUCAGCCCAACAGGAAUCUGGUCCAGAUUCCAAAUCAAUGUAAAGCUGCUGUAACAUCCCCUGUACUCACCCUGGUGGUCCGCCAAUCUGCCUCCACUCCCACGCUGUCAGAGGUUCCGGUCAGCUUCUCGGAUGCCGGAUGCUGUACCUCCACCCCUUUUUAUGACGCGGCGCAUGCGUGCCGGCAUCAUGACAUCAGUGGUGCUCUAAUCGAUAGAGCUCAGCACACUCGCACAUUUUGGGGCGUGGCUAUGCUAAUCACACCCCAAACAUAUACAAACUCAGUUUGCCCAAAGCACAGUGCCCUAUUGUGGUUCCUAGUGUCUCUAGUGUCCCAAUAGCGCAUUCUUCUGUCUUUUUGGUAAUUUUGGUACUUGGCCCGGCUUAUUAACGACUAUUCUGGUUUCUGGUUCCCUUGACUCUGCUUUGUUCCUCGUGAUUUUGUAAUUUUGUCUUCCCUUGACCUUGGCUUGUUUUUGAAGUUUCUUGUAGUUUAAUCUAUACUCCGCCCACUCUAAGGACUGGCUUAGGGACUUUCUAUCAAUCUCUGUUUCUACUGGUUUUCACUCUGUGUGUUGGGUUAAUCAUUACAGAUUGUUUGUGUGUGCGCUGUUCCUUUAACUGUAUUUUGUAUUUGUUUUGGUCUUUACGACAGCACCACUGCUUGAAAUGCAUGUUCUGGGUGUGCCCCCAAUUCAAUUUUUUUCUGUAUAGAUUUGGAAUACAGCUACAUUAGCAUACAAUACAUAUUGACUACACAUAGUACACCAUAAACAGACCCCUUUAAACACAGAAUUCACCACAUACAGACCAUUCUACAAACACGUUAGCCUUGUCCAAUGUUCUUUGGUACCCCACAUUGUGUCAAUAAAUUUGCUUGCAUUGUGCAAAAUAAACACAGGGCAUCUCAGCUAUCUUUGGGUGGUGGAAAUAUAGGUUGAGUUCUCACAUUUUUGCCCCCUAGACUUGACCCAUGAAAGAAAUGGCAUCUCCUGUGUCACGGGGAGAAUUUCUUUGUCUGUCCCAGAAGAAAGAUCUUCCAUGUCUAAUAGUAAAUACAUUGAAUACCACAGCUGAGGCAGCAUUUAUGUCAUGGUAAAUAGUCUUGCAUCUCCUGAAAAGGUUUAGCAGGAAGGCGUAGCAGCAGAACUACAGCCAGUGCUGAUGGUGAACUACACUGGGGCCCGCAAACUGAGAGGGCCCAUUGAGUGGCCCAUACACUUAGAGCCACCCAAUGGGCAUGUCUCUUCAGGAGCCCAAAAACAAUUUGGCACCAGAGCUCUCUCCAUGCUAGUUCCAUCAUUGCAUCCCACCACAGACCAUAACUCUCUUAAACAGUCACAACUCACACACAGCACAGCUUUGCCAUAAACACAAUACACACAUCAAAGCCACAAGCAGCCACCAUACACACACACACUGCAAGCAGUUCCCCUGCACACACAAUACCAGUAACUGAGAUAUACAUGCUCACAGACAACCACAGACAUAGAUUUUGUCUUUCAAACACAGUCACAGAUACACAUAAACAAAUAUAUACACUCACAGAUGCACAAAGAUACACACUGUCAAGCACACAAUCUCAGGCACAUACAAAGAUACGCAAUGCCAGACACACACACACAUGUAAUGAUACACACUACCAGAUACACACUGUGAUUUUCUUCCUGUUUUUUUUAAUGUGUGUGUGUCUGCGUGCCAUUGUGUGUCUCUGUGCAUCACUGUGUAUGUGUGUGCAUGUAUCAGAGUGUGCAUGUCUGUAUGUGUAUCAGUCUGUCUAUGUGCAUCCAUGUAUUUGUGUGUGUCCAAAGCGACAACAUGGCUUCAACCUGAGGGUGAUUUUGUGUGAGCAAUAUCAUGGGGCACCAUAAAGAAUUUACAUGGGGUUAUGUAUAUUAGGCUUAGAAUUUACCUAUCCAAAUAUAUAUUGAGUCACACCAACCCUGCUCUGCACAGUUAAUAUCGCUAUGUACUGAGUGACACUCACACUGUCAUGUAAAACCCGCUAUAUACUGAGUGGCAUACUUUGUGGGUGACACUCAGUACAUAGCAGGAUUCACUGUGCAGAGCAGUGUGUCACUUAGUGCAUGGAGGCAUUCAUUGUAGAAGACAGUGUGGGUGUCACUAUGUGGGUAUAGAUCAGGAUUCACUGUGCAGAGCAUAGUGUGUCACACAGUAUAUCGCAGGAUUCACUGUGCAGUCCAGUGUGGGUGUCACUGGUAUACAGGGCCAGAUUAAGAGCCCAGUGGGCCUAGUGCUGACAGUUAUGAUGGGGCCUAAUUACAGAAUCUUAUCGACCAAAAACACUAAAACAGUCAUACCUCCCAAGCAUCAUGUGUCUGAUGGCGAUGAUGUUGGAGGGAAACUCAAAGGAUGCAGCUAUAAGAAAACACAUACUAUAUGCUAAUCUCUCUCUAAUUUAUGUUUUCACCUUUCAAGUAAAUCCAUACCCCCUAACAGCAGUGUCCAGUGAAGUAGGAAGUCAAUGGGCGGGGUGGUGGGCCACUGACACGAAUCACGUGACCAGAACUGCGAAAAGGGGCAAACAUGCCCAAAAAAGGGGGCACGUCUGUCCAAAGAAUUGGAAGGCCAACCUGGCAUCAGUGUCCCUAUCUAUCACAGUGUCAGUGUCCCCAUGUCGCCCAGUCCCCCAGUCUCCCAGUGUCUCAGUGUCCUCAUUUCUCCCAGGGGACACAGUGAGACCCGGGGACACUGAGACACUUGGGGACACUGAGACACUUGGGACACUGGGAGAGAUGGGGGCACUUGUAGAUACAGAUAUGGGGACACUGGGAGACAUGGGGACACAGACAUUUAAGGACACUGGGAGAAAUGGGGACACAGACACUAGGAACACAGAGACAUGGGGACACAGACACCAGGAUACAUGGGGACACAGACAUUUGGGGACACUAAGACACUAGGGACACUGGCUGGGAGGCAUGGGGACACUGAGACACUUGGGGACACUGGGAGACAUGGGGCACUUGUGGACAUAGACAUGGGGACACUGGGAGACAUGGGGACACUAGGGACACUAGGGACACUAGGGACACAGAGACAUGGGGACACUGAGACACUAGGGACACUGGCUGGGAGACAUAGGGACACUGGGGGACAUAGGAACACUGAGACACUAGGGACACUGGCUGGGAGACAUGUGAACACUGGGAGCCAUGGGGACACUAGGAGCCAUGGGGACAUUGGGAGCCAUGGGACACAGACACUGUGAGACAUGGGGACACUGUGUCCCUAGUGUCUAUGUGUCCCAAUGUGUCUCCCAAUUUCUCUAUGUCUCACAGCAUCCCAAUGUGUCUCAGUGUCCCCAUGUCUCACAGUGUCCCCUAGUGUCUCAGUGUCCCCAGUGUCCCUUAGUGUUUCAGUGUCCCCAGGUCUCCCACUGUCUCCUAGUGUCUCAGUGUCCACAUGUCUUCCUGCUGCCUUUCCCCUCAUCCCUCACUUCCCUGAGCUGAAGGCUGUCUCUGCAGGCUGGGAGCUGCUGUCUGCACUCAGCAGUGUGUAGAGAGAGGCAGGGAGGGAUAUGCUGUAACUUCCUAUCUCUGCCUCUCUCCACACACAGUGACCCCUACUGGCUGGUGCUGGUAUUGCAGAGUAAUAUCUGUUUAUACUGAGAAAAAUAUCUGCAUUUGUAUUGCCGGUAUUACUGCAAUACUGGCACGACUAGGCAGCCUCAAAUGCCGGCCGUUCUGGUAAAAUACCAAUCAGAUGGCAAACCUAAGAUUAGUGUGUAAAAUAUGUAAAAAAAAAAUGUGUAAAAAAAAAUAUAUAUAUUUUUUUUAAAUGGGCCUAUUCCAUUGGCCUGGAGCUGCAGCUCCAUCAGCCCCUAUGUUAAUCCUGCCCUGUCGGUAUAUAUCAAGAUUCACUGUGCAGAGCAUUGUGUGUCACACAGUAUAUCGCAGGACUCACUGUGCAGUGCAGUGUGGGUGUCACUGGUAUAUAGCAGGAUUCACUGUGCAAAGAGUGAGCUCCCCUAAUUGAGAGGCAAUCUGAGAAAGUUUAUAGUAAGUGUAUUCUUCUUCUUUUUACAUACUUUACAAACUUUUGUUGCCUUAUUUUUAGUUUGCAUAUAUGUGUAAAAGUGUUUUCUUUCUGGUUUAAAAAAAUCAAGUGAUGUAUGUCCCUUUAAAAGAAAUUGCAGACAAAAAACAGUAAUUUGCUUUUUAAAUUUUGUUUUUCUCUCCUGGUGCUUAAGUUUCCUUUUAUUAUGUAACAAGAGGUAAUUUAGCUUCGGUAGAAAAAAACGCUAUUAAGGUCACCAAAGGCUGCAUUUUGCUGACACCUGCUGUGUGUUUAAAGGAAAGCUAGUAAAGCUAAUCAAAUAAAAUAAAAAUCUGUUCAGUGGUAACUGUUUGGUUGAUAUCGUAUCAUUGUUCAAUCUAAUUCAAUUUGAAGAAACUCAGAAAAGUCAGAUAUGGUUAGUGUUUGUUACUUCUCAAAUUUUACAUCUCGUAUAACUGUUACAUAAUAUCUAGCCCUCAAUUUAGGUCUAGAAGCUAUUAGAAGUUGAAAUUAUCCGGUGGUUGUUCUAUAUAAGCGGAUGCCAUUUGGGCACAGAAACUACACCUUAAAGUUUGUAACUCUGAUUGCCAUCACUUUUAAGAAACAAAUAAGUAAGCCUAUGCUACAUCAAAUCCCCAUUAAAUCUACUGCUGUCUCCUUUACCAUUGAAGGUUUUUGUGAUGCCACAAUGCCAGCCAUAGAGAGUAUUCUGCUGUUUUUCCCAUCUUGUAGAAACUAAUGCUGCAACUUUCAAAUCAGUGUUUGAAUUAUUAUUAAAAAGGAAGCAACACAAGUUUUUCUUAUUCCCUGUAAAAACAUCAAACUAUUGACUUGGUUAUUUUACUUUUAUAGAGCUGUUUGCUGUAUCACAUCUUAUUAAUUACCUUGAUAUAUAAGCUGCCUCUCUCAACCUAGCAGAUACCUGGACAUCCACUGAAAAACCACAAUAUUAACACCACCUCGUGUAGGUCUUCCUCAUGCUGCGAAAACAGCUAUGAUGCAUCAAGCAAUGGACUUUCUAAGACUUCUGAACUUGUACUGUGGUAUCUUGCAUCAAAACAAUAGCAGCAGAUCCUUUUCGCGGUUGCGCGGUGGGACCUCCAUGGAUUUGAUUUGUUGUUCAAACACAUACCACAGAUGCUCAAUCAUAUUGUGAUCUGGGAAAUUUGAACACCAAGGUAACACCUUGAACUUUUUAUCAUGUUUCUCGUACCAUUCCUGAACAAUAAUUGCAGUGUGACAGGGUGCAUUAUCCUGCUGAAAGAUGCCAGUGCCAUCAGGGAACACCAUUGCUAUCAAAAGGUGUACAUGGUCUGCAACAAUCCCUUGGUAGGUGGGAUGUGUCAAAGUAACAUCCACAAGAAUGCCAGGACUCAGCAGAACAUUUCCCAGAGCAUAACACAUACUCUGUCGCCCUGCCUUGUUCCCAAAGGGCAUCCUUGUGCUAUCUCUUCCGCAGGUAAAUGACACACAAGCACCCGGUCAUCCAACUGAUCUAAAAGAAAACAUUAUUUAUCAGGCCAGGCAACCUUCUUCCAUUUCUUCAUGGUCCUGUUCUGGUGCUCAUGUCCAAACUGAUGGAACUUUCAGUGGUGGAUAGGGUUCUUCUUGGGCACGCAGCCCAAUCCCCAGAAAACUGUGAUGGACUGUGUGUUCUGACACUUUUCUUUCAUGGCCAACAUUAAGUUUUUCAGCAAUAUGAGCUACAGUAGCUCUUCUGCAUGAUUAAAUAAAACUGACUAGCCUUUGCUCCCUAUGGGCACCAAUGAGUCUUAGGUAUCCAUGACUCUGAUUUGGUUCACCAGAUGUCCUUCCUUACACCACUUCUGGUAGAUACUAACCACUGCAUGGUUUUCACAGUAUGUUGGUAUGUUGGUAGUUGCACAUAAAAUAGGUGAGUAUGUAAAACAGAAAAAAGACCAAAUGGUGAAAUAUAUUCAAGAACUUGGAUAAUGUAAUAGUAGAAAACCAUUAACAUAUCUUAGAGCUUCUGGCCAACUCUGGAAUUCAAAUUUGAGCAGAACAACCCUCACCUAUGGAUAUGUGGAUGCUUUUCCUAUCAGAUAUGAAUCUUCAACAAUGUAUUAUUAUUGAUAUGAAACAAAAGACAGGAGUAAUAUAUAGUGUAGGAUGUAGUAAAUAGGUGGAUAUAAAAGCAAUACAUAGUAAUGUACUCACAAGAUAAGUGUGAGUACAUUACUAUGUGGCUCCAGCAGAACAGCAUUAAGUGUUAAAAUCCUCACUUCUGGAUUAUGUGCAGCCCGAUGUUCUCAGCAGUAUCAUGCAAGAUAAAACAUAAAUAUAGUACACUUUGCAGAUAUGAAAUGGUGCAGUAUAACAAAGAAUUCUACUUACAUACUUUUGAGUAAUAAGAUAUUGCUCAAUCAUUCCUGGCAUAGGUGGAUAUAAUCCCUACCAAGGAUAUUGAUGAUGGGGUAUAGUCACAAACAGAUGGAGAUCCAGGAGCAGGAAAAAAAACAGCUUUAUUUUAGACUUUAUAAAAACAAUAAAAUGGUCAAAUAUAAUAAAAAUAUUUUAAAAAAACACGAAUGUGUUUCAAUUUAUUAAAGGCUUUUUCAAAGUAUAUAUAUAGGCUCCUGGCUUCCACCUUCUUAUAUCCUUAUAUAUUUAUCCUGCUCCUGGAUCUCUAUUUGUUUGUGACUACACUCCAUCUUCAUUAUCCUUGGUGGGGAUUAUAUCCACCUAUGCCAUAAGGAUUGAGCAAUAUCAUAUUGCUCAGUAGUAUGUAAGUAGGAUUCUUCUUCUAUGUUAUAGUACACAAUUUUGUAUCUACACAGAGCAUUGUAUUUGUUUUAUCUUGCAUGAUACUGUUGAUACAUCUGAUUACACAUAAUCCAGCAGUGGAGAUUGUACAAUUUAUUCAUUACUAUAUAUUGCUAUUUAUAUCCACUUUCUAUCUACAUACUACAUUGUAUAUUUUUUCAUAUCCCAUAAUAAUACUCCACUGAAGAUCCAUACCUGAUAAGAAAGAUGUCCACAUAUCCAUAAGCAGGGAUUGUUCUGCCCAAACUUGAGUUCCAGAGCUGGUCUGAAGCCCUAAUAAAUGUUUCCACAUUCAUUUUAUCCAGGUUUCUAAAUACACUCCUUCAUUUGAUCUUUUUUCUAUUUCUGUUUUACAUAUCCAUUUGAAGCGCAACUAACAUACUGUGAAAAAUUACCAUUUGUCAAGCCAAAAAGAGGGAACUUUGGAAGGUUGAUGCUGCUAUUGUAUAACAGGACUAUUUUUGAACACUUAAUUCUCUUGAACACCAGGAACACCAAACAAGACUUGCCAUUUUGCAGAUGCUUUAACCCAGUUGUCUAGCCAGCACUAUUUGCCCUUGUCAAAGUCUCUCAGAACUUUUCGCUUGCCCAUUUCUCCUGCUUCCAACACAUGAAAUUAAAGAAAUGACUGUUCACUCACUGCCUAAUAUAUCCCCACCAUCCCUGGAAAGGUACCAUUGCAACAACAUAAUCACUGAAAUUCCCUUCUCCUGUCAGUGGUUUUAAGAUUGUGGCUGAUCAGUGUAGAUAAAUAUAUAUAUAUAUAUAUAUAUAUAUAUAUAUAUAUAUAUAUAUAGAGAGAGAGAGAGAGAGAGAGAGAGAGAGAGAGAGAGAGAGAGAGAGAGACUAUAUGUAUAAUUAUGGGGGUUAGGUGGCCCCAUGUUCACUAGCACUAAGAUAGAUAGUCCCAUGUUCCAAAUAGCUAUAUGGGCAGAUGGUACUUAAUCACUCUAGCCCUAAUGGUAUGACUAUUCAAUCAUUCAUUAUAUACAUUAGUGAUCAAGUAUCCAUAUUGACACUUAACUGGAAGUGCACUGUGAUGUGGAUGGCUUUGCAACUACUGCUGUUCAAGAUGCGUAUCCCUGGAGACAUGUACAUACAAAACUACUUAUAAAGAAAGGCUAAGUGAUAGCCCAAUGUGUUCUAUGAACCCAUGUUCAUGUUGUCAGGAUUAGGAAAGAGUAGCUCUUUAGAGUAAUAGUGGCAAUAGAGCAAGCGGUAAGAUCCUUACAUGUCAAAUCAUAGGAUGUGUGAAACCCCUUAAUUUUCUGUUGGGGGUAAAACAAAGGGCAACUGAUAUUUAUACCUGUGCUGUUAUUCUUGAUAUCCCUUUCGUCAGUUUAUGUAUUUUGCGUUUGUGUCAAAUCCUUCUUAUUACCUUUUGGAUGCCCCUCUUGUAAACAAAUACAUUGACUGUAUGACAACAUAAUUAGAAUUUUAUGUAUUGCUGGGUUGUACUCCGGUUGACAGAAUGUAGAAAGAUGUGAGAGAUUUGUUUAUCUUAGAAGGCAGCCAUCUUGACAAAGCAGUAGAUGAAAACUGAAUAACACAAAUAGACUCACAAAUGCCGUAUUUUGGGGUAGUUGUUCUGGUGUCUAUAGACUGUCCCUGCAGGAUUUUCAAUGUAAAUGCAGCUUUUUCAAAGAAAAGCGAGUGUUGACAUUGCUGCUUAGUAACACCUUUAGUGGCAGUCACUCAGACGCUCUGUAUGGAGGCAUUGAAUGUUCCCCACAGAGAUGCAUUGAUUCAAUGCAUCUCUAAGAGGAGAUGUUGAUUGGCAAUGCUGCGUUUUGCCAUGUAUGUGCAAUAGACUCCGAAUGCUUUUUUAAAGGAAAGCAAUGGAUUGGCUGAGAUCAUCAAGGUUGAGUAUCUCAGCCAUGGUAGCAGGACAAUGGCAGGGCCAGCCACGUAGAGACUGGCACUGUGUGGGAGAAAAAGUGAGUAAAAAUACCUUUUCAGUGCAAUCAGAGUGGGAUCAGGGAGCUAAAUACUGGGUUCAACACUAUAGUGUCAGGAAUAAAUGUUUUAACUCCUGACACUAUAGUGCACCUUUAAGGUAUCUUGGAGGUACAAAGUAUGAGAAUGUAUUUUGGGGGGGCUUCUAACUCAUAAGCUUUCUUCAGGACCAACCAUCGCAUUUAACUGCUCUGGCUAUAUAUCUUAAUGUGAAUUUCUUUGUGGGUGCACACAUUAAUUUGCAAGUUCAUUAAGGUAAAGAUACACGUGAGUUUUGACUGGAAUUAGUUUUUUGUUUACUUGCUAUUUAAGCUCUUUAAAAAAGAAAAUCAAUUAUGUACAACAUGCAAACAAUAAUUGCAAAGCUUUCAUAAGGAAACAAGCUGCUCUUGAGAAAAAGCUGAUUUGUAAGUAAAUUAUUGACUGUUUAUUUUUAGCUCCUGCCAAUAUGGUGCAUGCCUACAAUGAAGAAAAAGACGACAGGGGCACUGUUUUUCUAAAGUAUCUACUGUUUUUAUACAAUUUCCUUUUUUGGGUAAGUAACAACAUUUUGUUUUCUCUAACAGAUAGAAAUUCUAUGUCUAGUCUAAAAUAUUAUUUAUCUAAAAUACAAAAAUGUUUAGUUUUUUUGUAGAUAUAUUUUCAUUGAAGAGAUUUUCAAUAAAGAAUGAAAGAAAAUGUGUGGGACCCAGAAAAACAAGAUUCAAUGUGUGACAAGACGUGCAGGUCUCCAGUAGAACUGAGGAGUAAUUAGCAUAGAUAUAUAAUAACAGCAAUCUGUUGCUGCCCUUGUCCUUAUAGUCUAAGACUGGGAACAUGUUUUAAUAUAUCUAGACCAGGGGUUCUCAACCCAGUCCUCAAGGACCCCCUACCAGUCCAGGAUUUAAUGAUUACCCUGUUGUGUCUAAAGGGUUUGUUCUUCCCCCCCUAAAAAUACAUUAGACACAGCAGGGAAAUCCCUAAAUCCUGGACUGGUAGGGAGUCCUUGAGGACUGGGUUGAGAAUCCCCUAAUUCUAGACCUAUGCUUUCUAUUGUUUUCUGGCCCACUCCCUUUGUUUUUGACACACAUUAUUUUGUCCCUCUUUUUCCUUCACUUUAUGAUCUAUAAACCCUUAGGUAACAGUGACCAUCUAUGUCUCAAAACAAACCCUUACCAUUUGGGGAUCUCAGGGCAAGACACAUUCCUCCUCAAUGGUCAAAUGGUCUUAAUUCCAACAGUUGGAACAUCCAUCUAACAUAUGAAAUUAGCCCUCAACAAGUUAAUUUUUUAGAUUUGAAUAUUUAUGUGGAAGACAACCAAAUUAAAAGUAAAACCUUCUUUAAAUUAGUAGAUGUAAAUAGUUUUAUUAAUUUGAAAAGUUGUCAUUUUAAACCCUGGUUAACGAAUAUACCUAAGGGACAAUUUUUAAGGAUCAAGCGAAAUUGUACAGAAAUUCAACAAUAUGAUGAACAAACUCAGAUUUUAAUUAAUCAAUAGUGGAAAAGGGGUAUAAUUAUGAUGAAUUAAAAAGAUUAAAAGAAAGAGUAGGACAAGAAUCAAGGGAAAAUAUUUUAAAAUCUGAAACAAAGGAAUUAAGGGACGAUAAUCUCACCAUACCUAUCAUUUUUAAUUAUAGCUCAAACAGUAACGAAUUACAAAAAAUAAUUAGGAAGAACUGGCAUAUUUUGGAGCAGGAUCAAGAUGUACAACAAUAUAUAGGAACUAAACCCAAAGUCAUUUUUAGAGGAGCAAAGAAUUUUAAACAGGUUUUAACUUCAAGUUUUUUAGAGAAAGAAAAAAAUCCUCAACUUUUAACUAUGUUUAAAAGGGACAAUGGUUUUUAUUAUUGUGGGUCAUGUAGAGGGUGCACUUUAAGAAAACAUAAAAAUAAAACUGUUACCAAAUUUGAUUCUUUUUUUAAUAAAAAAUCGUAUGAUAUCAAAUCUUUUUUAACCUGCAAUUCUAAAAAUAUAAUCUAUAUGAUCACCUGUCCAUGUGGAUAUCAAUAUAUAGGUAGAACAUCUAGACCACUAAAAAUAAGAAUUAGAGAACAUAUUUAUAAUAUUAAUAGAAAAUAUGUUCUACAUAAUGUGUCCAAACACUUUUUAGAAGUACAUGGGGGUAAUAUACAAGGUUUUGACUUUAUGGGUAUAGAAGGGGUUAAAACACAUUGGAGGGGAGGAGAUAUAGAAAAUCUCCUGAACAAAACCGAAAUGAAAUGGAUUUUCAAUAUGCAAACUUUGUCCCCAUGUGGUCUAAAUAUAGAUUUUGAGGUCAAUUCCUAUAUAUAAAUAUAUUUUAAUUAUCCAAAGUUAUUAUUAUUAUAACUAUUGUUAUUUUAAUAUUUAUUUUAUUAUAUAUCUGUUUGGAUCUUAUCUUGCAUAUAUUGUAUAUGACAUUUCCUCUUGUUGAAUAAUAUAUAUGUUUCCCCUUUUAUUUGGAGAAGGUUUAUACUAAAAUUUUAUAUAUAUAACUCUAUUAUGUUUUAAUUGCUCAUUAUUUGAGAAAGAUCUGGCAAAAUAAGUAUUAAAAGGACUUUUAAAAAUGGCGCCCGCAAUACUUCCGGUCCGGGGUGCCGGAAUGACGUCAUGACGUGUGGGACACGUCGGACGACGAAAGAUGACGCCAUGACGUGUGAGACACGUCGGACGAUUACCGAUGACGAAAACGGAAGUAAAGAGAACCGGAAACAGUGAGAAAGGGCGCCAAACCUUGGAAUUUAAAAGCUGCAAUCAUGGAGAUGAAUACAAACCACUUGAGAAAGGCUAUUUUGCCGAAACGUGUCAUGGUAACUGCAUAUGGACAAUUUUAUUUCAUGUUUGAUUUAAAAAACUUUUGUUUUAAUCAAUAAAUUAGUUUUACUUUGGAAUUGUAUCCUGGAAUAAUUAUUAUAUUAAUAUCCAGAAGAAAUUCAUCCAAAGGACGUCCAGUUCAAAGGAGUAUUCCUCUCCACUACAAGCUUUUAGUCUGAGUCAGCUUUUUAAAGUGACUCAGUAACGUGAGUUUUUCCAGUAUUUUACUAACAAUAUUUGUAAUCUGUCAAUAUUACUCUAUGUUUCUUUUAUCUUGUUGUUUUUAGAGUUGAACUCAAGAUUAAUCUGGUAAUAAUUUAAAUUGCAUGCUUUAGAGUGCUCUCACCGUCUUUUAUAUUUUUUGUACACUAUAUUUGUGUGGUUGAGUGAUUCACACUAGGUGAUAGUAGCACCACUCUGUACUGUUUUUCCCAAAAUUCUUAUAUUCACUUGUACAUUCCUCCUCAUCAUUACAGUAUCCAUCAUUCCAGAGCAUGAGAUACUUUCAUUCACAUGCAGGGCCGGAUUAACAUAGGGGCUGAUGGAGCUGCAGCUCCAGGCCCAGGCCCAGGCCCAUGGAAUAGGCCCAUUACACGCUACUCUUAGGUUUGCCACCUGACUGGUAUUUUUAGGCGCAGCCAGUAUUUGAGGCUGCCUGACCAUGACGGUAUUGCAGUAAUACCGGCAAUGCAAAUAUUUUUCUCAGUAUAAAAUGAGAUUACUCUGAAAUACCAGCACCUGCCAGUAGGAGUCACUGUGUAUGGAGAGAGGAAGGGAUAGGAAGUUACAACAUCUCCCUGCCUUUCUCUACUCACUGAUCUGCUGGGGGAGCAGCUACACAGCGCAGAGAGUCCAUAUAGCAGCUCCCAUCCUGCAGAGACAGGCUACAGCUCAGGUAUGUGAAGAAUGGAGGGAAAGUCAGCAAGGAGACAUGGGGACACUGAGACACUAGGGGACACUGGGAGACAUGGGGACACUGAGACACUUGGGGACACCGUGAGACAUGGGGACGCUGAGACACAUGGGGACGCUGUGAGACAUAGGGAGACACAUUGGGACACGGAGACACUAGGGACACAGUGUCUCCCAGUGUCCCCAUGUCUCCCAACCAGUGUCCCUUGUGUCUCAGUGUCCCCUAGGCUCCCAGUGCCCCCUAGUCUCCCAGUGUCCCCUAAUCUCCCAGUGUCCCCUAGUCUGCCAGUGUCUGUGUCUAAUCUCCCAGUGUCCCCUAGUCUCACAGUGUCUGUGUCCCCAUGUCUCUCAGUGUCCCCAUGUCUCCCAGCCAGUCUCUGUGUCCCCAUGUCUCCCAGUGUCCCUAGUGUCUCAGUGUCCCCAUGUCUACACUCCCAGUGUCUGUGUCCCCAUGUCUCUGUGUCCCCCAUGUCUUCUCAUGUCUCUGUGUCCCUAGGGUCCCCAUGUCUCCCAAAUAUUUCAGUGUCCCCAUGUCUAUGGCCACAAGUGCCCCCAUGUCUCCCAGUGUCUAUAUGUCUCCCAGUGUUCCCAUGUCUGCAUCCACAAGUGCCCCCGUGUCUCAGUGCCCCCAUGUAUCCCAGUGUCCCCAAGUGUCUCAGUGACCCCGGAUCUCUCAGUGUCCCCAUGUCUCACUGUGUCCUCAUGUCUCUUAGUGUCCCCUACUAACCUAGUGACACAGGACACACUGAGACAUGGGGACACUGGGAGAAAUGGGGACACAGACACUGGGAGACUAGGGGACUGGGUGACAUGGGGACACUGACACUGUGAUACAUAGGGACACUGAUGCCAGGCUGGACUUCCAAUUCUUUGGACAGACAUGCCCCUUUUUGGGCAUGUUUGCCCCUUUUGGCAGUUCUGGUCACGUGAUUCGCAUCAGUGUCCCACUCUUUUACCCCGCCCAUUGACACUGCUGUUAGGGGGUAUGGAUUAACUUGAAAGAUGAAAGCAUCAAUUAGAUAGAGAGAUUAGCAUAGAGUAUGUGUUUUCUUAUAGCUGCAUCCUUUGAGUUUCCCUCCAACACCGUCUCCAUCAGAUACAUGACGGUGUGACUGUUUUAGUUUUUUUGGUCAAUAAGACUCUGUAAUUAGGCCCCAUCAUAAUUGUCAGCACCAGGCCCACUGGGCUCUUAAUCUGGCCCUGUUCACAUGCAUACACACAUUUGCACAAUCACAAACAGCAAAAUCAUAGGUGGAUGCAAAUGGUCUCCUGCCCCAUGAAGGCAAACAUCUUAGGUGAGUUCUACACUAACUACAUUAACUAGAACUUUGCCUUGAUGAGGCAGGUGAGCUAGCACUUUUGGACAUUGGAAAUUGAAGUGGUACUAAAAACAUCUUGCUAUAUAAAGAGAGACUAAAGUGCUAGGUAUACAAAGUUAUAUUCAUAGUACUAUAGUGCCUCCUCUCUGGCUCCCCCCAUGCAGCGUUGAAAGAUUUAAAAACCCUUUUGUCAGUUAACUGAUUCCAGCGCCAUUAUCCCUCAGUGCUGGACCAGGCUGUGCAUCUGCUCCUCCUCCCCCGACAUCAGCUGGUGGGGACCUAAUACACAUGUCCAGCAAGCACCGCAAUCGCAUUAGGAUUGAAUCAAUGCUUACCUAUAAACUUUUAGCAGACGCUGGAUGUCCAAAAGUCUGCCAAGGACCCGUAAGCGCCCCAGUGGCUGUCUGGUAGACGGGCUGUGUGCUUGAUUAAUUAUCAAAUAGUGAUGGAAUUAUUCUGUAAUUGAGCGUUGAGGUCAUUUUAACAAUUGCAGAAAUCAUUUUUAUUUCUUUAUCUAACUAAAUGACUGAAAACCUAAAUUUUCGAUUCUUCCAAAACCAAAUGCACAUGUUCAAAGGACCACUAUAGGCAUCCAGACCACUUCAGCUCAUUGAAGGGGUCUGGGUGCCAGGUCCAUCUAGGGUUAACCCUGAGAAACUGCUAUGUUUACAAUAGGGUUAAUCCAGCCUCUAGUGGCUGUCUAAUUGACAGCCGCUAGAGGCGCUUCCGCGCUUCUCACUGGGAAAUCACAGUGAGAAGACGCUGAUGUUCAUAGGAAAGCAUUGAGAAAUGCUUUCCUAUUGACUGAUUGAAUGUGCGCGCAGCUCUUGACGUGCAUGCGCAUUCAGCACUGAUGGCAAAAGAGGGAGGAGAGUUCCACAGUGCCAAAAAGAAAGAAUUUUUAUUUUAAUAAAGUUCCCCAGCACCAAAAAUAAAGAAUUAAAAAAAAAUUAAGAAUCAAAGGAGUACCAGAACAAAUAAAUCCUACAAAUCUGGAGCCGUACAUAGAGGAAUUUUUUAAACAUCUGAAAGUGGAAUGGGACCCCACAAUCCCACAUGCCACGUGGGACCUAUAUCUGAGUAAUGUUUUGUAUUACUUGAGAUACUGUAUGGCGGGGGGGGUUUUGCCAUACAUCACGUUUCUCUUAGAUUGAUACCAUCAUUUGGGAUUAACCCGUCUUACUUUUUUGUAAUCACAAAUAAAGAUGUUUUUUUCUUUUUCUAUAAAACUUUAGUAACUUUUGGAGAGAGAGAGUCUCGAGAACAGAUAAGAAAACACAAUUUAAGUUGACCUCAAUAAAUGCCCGGGGGAUCAACACACCAUGUAAAAGGCCUAUAAUUGUGGACUUCCUGAUAAAAAAAUUGGAUAAAAAUCUGUGCCCUGCAGGAAACCCACUGGAUAAGAUCCAAUGAAAAUAUAAUUAAAUCAUCAAGAUACCCCACUAUUGUAAGUACGGCUCUAGAAAAAAAAAAAAAAAAGAGGCGUAUCAUUUAUAUUUGCAAAAAAUGUUUCCCUUAUCAUUAAACAUCAAGCAUUAGAUCCAGAAGGCCAUUACAUUAUUCUAAUAUGUGAAAUAAAUAAUAAGCUAUUCACAUUAAUUAACAUUUAUGCACCAAAUAAAUCUCCAAUAAAAUUAUCACAAAAAUAUGUAAGAUAAUAGAGCAGAUCAAGCAAGGGUUGGUUCUAAUCAUGGGGGAUUUUAAUUGCGUAAUGGACCCUCUGAUAGACAAAAAGAUUACACAUGCUAUUCUAGAACAUUCAAUUCAUACUCCAGAAUCGACAUUAUCCUGGGAAAUGUGACCAUGCUAUAUCUUGUUAAAAGAAUAGAGAUACGGGGGCCGGCCCAGGCUGAUGAGCUGAACAGCAGCCAUCUUCCUCAGCUCCGGUCUCCGCUCUUUAAAGAUGGUGAUUUAGGGCCAAAAGAGCCCAGCUAACCACUAGCUACUGCUACACAAAUCUGUGGGAACCUAUCAGCGGCCAGGAGAUCCUGGUUUGGAUUCUGAAACACAGAAAUAGCUAGCCCGCCGAUGCCUCAGGCCUGCCUCCACGCCUCACUCCGAUGACAAGCUAUACAGCAACGGUGGAGAAUACCGGUCUACUCCUAAGUAUACCUGUGGUUGCUGCCUGUAGCCCUGUAGGUUAUGCAACUGGCAGCAAAUAGAGGCCCGGCCCCACUCUCCCCCUCCCCAGACGGUGGGGGUUAUACCGGCCAGUCGGCUAGAGCCAGCUGAAGCUUUGACCACAGCCUGACUCACAGCCAAAGAUGGCAAUCUCCCCUCCUCCUGCCAUAUCUAUAAGAUGCGAAGACUUAUCACUCUUUGCUUGGAGGUGGCAGUAUAUGGGGACAUACUCACGUGUCAUGAAGGGCUGCAAUAUGUUUACCUUAAGCCCUGGGGGAUUGCUGACCUGCGGAAGGAGCCUCCCAGAAUGUCUACCCACUGGAGGCAUGGUGUCCUCAGCCUCCAGGUUUGAGGGAAGCCUGGAGGGACUUGUCCCCAACGCCGCAAGCCCUGUGGAGCUAGACAGUGUGGAGCAGCAGUGCACCGGUGACCGCGAGUGAAGCACGGCGGAACCAAGUGUGUGGCCAGAGCUGGGAGAGACAUUUUAGGGGACGAUGCCUCACUGAGUCCCUGAAGGUGCAGGGGAGGUGCAGGAGAUGGAUGGUCUGUGGACCCUAGGAGAGGGGGGCCCAGCGGACUGUUUCAGUUUAUGAGUGCCCACUUCGCCACAGAAUACUCUGCUGGAGGGAUGGGACUGAAGGAGGAUCUGGAAGGUGGCCCUGGAAUCUCUGAGAGCUCUGGCUACCAUACUACAGACAGCCUGCCAUUGUUUGCUUACAACUGAUUAACAUAGACUGCCAUAUCUGAAUGGGAUGGACGGGGGGAGGGAGCCUGUUCAUUAUCUGUUUUUCCUUUGUGAUUUUCUUUAUUUUAUUUUAAUUGUUUUUUUUUCUUACUUUCUUUUAUUAUUUUAACUUAGGGUGUCUUGUUAUGCCCGGCUGCGCGUGCAUGGCACAAGACUCUUUGGAGUGUUGGGAUACAUUCCCACUGGUGCUUAACAGGGGACUUCACGUAGGCCCUUUUUCCUUUUCUAUGUCUCCCCUUCUUCGAAGUCGGGAACAACUUUUUUUUCAUAACCUGAUGUAACUUAUACUAUGCUUUGUUCGGUUCUAUGCUAUUACUGAUAAGACGAAUAAGAUUAACUGUGCAUUAAACCAGUGUGCAGGCAGUGAUGGACCUAACGGUCUAAAUAACACAGGAAACCUGUGCCACAUGUGGCUGCCAUAACCAUUAUAUAAAGCUUAACAAUUAAAUUGACGCCUAUAUAGACCUAGGCUGAGUUUUAGGAUGCUGGCUUAUGCUAGGUUUCUCCUCUGUACCCUAUGCAGAAAUAGGCUUACUGUUACUAUGCCUAAAUAUGCUGUCUUAACAUUCUAUGCUAUUAUUGUCUAGCAAAUUAACCUUAACUACACUUUGACCUACAGUGACAGAUUGCGAUGGAACUUAUAAUUUUACCAAUACCAGAAACAUUUGACACAUAUGGCUACUAAAUUAAUAUAAUGCCUUGAUACAAAAGUGAUAUCUAGACAUACUUAGACUAAACCUUAUGAUGCUGGCUUAUGCUAUGUUUUGUUGUUAUGUAAUAUGCUACACCAUGCAGUUCUAUCGCUACAUACUAACUUUAAUGCACGUAUUUGCCCUUACUGAUGUAUGCAAUGAACAAGCUAAUAAAUCUUGAAUGAUAAAAAAAAAAAAAAAAAGAAUAGAGAUACAAGAUGUAGCAUGGUCAGACCAUAGUCCUAUCAUGUUGGAAUACAAAGAUAAUUUUGAUACAUUCCGUAAAGAGUGGCGCAUAAAAGAUGUUAUAUUAUCUAUUUUUAUCUAUUUUAAUUAUCUGGGUAUAAAAUAAAUAUAGAAAUGAAUAUCCUUCUUCUAAUUAAAGAAGCAAAUCUUAACUUAAAGAAAUGGAAAACUCUGGAAAUCUCCUGGUCAGGGAAAAUAAAUACAUUAAAAGCAUAUAUUGUACCAUAAUUCUCAUAUAUUAUGAGAAUGAUUCCUAUGAAGAUCCCAGACAGUUGGUUAGAAUUAAUUCAAACAUCAUUUACUAAAUUUAUCUGGGCAGGCAAAAAACCCAGAAUUAAAAAAGAUAUGUCUAAGAAAAAAGAUGAAGGAGGAAUGAGUAUUCCAGUUAUUCAAGAGAUUGCACAAGCUAAUUUAUUAACGCAUGUCUUAGUGAUAAAUAAGGAAGACUCUAUAAGCGAAAACUGGUAUAAAAGAGAACAGAUUCUGACAUUGGAAGAUAGGCAUUACAGAACGCUUCUAUGGUCAAUAGAUAAAGAUAUAAAUCAAUGUAUUAAAAAUUCUAAAUUGUUGAUAGUUCAACAAAUUUUUCCCACCUGGUCUCUUCUUAAAAAAAAAAAUUGGUUUAAAAAAGAAGAUUAUACCCGGCAUAAAUGUAAGUACAUUGUCAGAUUUAAUGACAGAUAUAAAUUUAGAAACCUGGACCUUGCGAGGUAUAAAAAUGAUAUCUAAUCUCUUGAUAGGAAAUAGAGUAAAAUCUUAUGAACAACUUCAAACUGAAUAUAAUAUACCUCCCAACGAGUGGUUCAAUUAUAUUAGGGUAAAAUCCUUUUUAAAUACAUUUCUAAGACUUAACCCUCUUAAACCACCAGUUAGAACGAAUUACAAAGUAGCAAAAAUGUAUCCUACAGCCCCACCUAAUUGUUGGAGAUGUAAUGAAUUAAUAGAAGACUUCAAACAUAUUUGGUGGGAUUGCCCGAAAAUUAGACCCUUAUGGGAGUAACUAAACCUAUAUCUAUACUCUUUAUUGGAAACAAAGAUUAAUCUAACUCAAAGUAUGGCUCUAUUACAUAUGGAUAUGACGAUGAUCAAUAAAGAAUUUAGACCUAUUAUUUUUCACAUCCUAAUGGCUGUGAAAACAUCAAUAGCCAGAAAUUGGAAAUCCCCAUAGGUAGAUAAUUGGUCUAAGAUCCAUGCUCAAAAUAUUAGUCAAUGUAAAAUGGAAAGGGCCAUCACUAACUUUGUACCAAGACUAUACCUACUGGAACAAAUGGAUUAAAAAACUAGAGCCUGAACAAUGAGAUUUUUUUUUUCUCUAGCCAUACGGUUUCCUUCCGUAUAGGAAAUUGUUACCCCCUACCCCCACUUGAGCCUGAUAUGGGAAUUAUUUUUUUUUUAUUUUUUUUGUUGCACUGCAAACCGAGCAAAUGUCUGUUUGUUUGUCAAUUAGUCUGUGAUGUAUAUGAUUGUUUAAUAAAAUUAUAAUUACAAUAGUGACAAAAAAAGUGAUGUUGAAGAAAUUAAGAAUAUAACAAAUCUCUUCUUUUUAGAAAAGAAAAACAAAGGUACACCAGAUAUUACAGUCAGGUGCGCUUAUAAAAGCAUAGCUAGAGACCACUUGAUAAAAAUGACAGUAACCACAAAAAAAAAGCAUUACCGCCUCUCUCCAAACUAUAUAUAACAUUAAGCGAAGACAAGAGGCAGAAUAAAACAACACCUUCUACAUAAAUAGCAAGGAAAAUUGCAGAAACAGAGAAACAGAUAAAUAGCCAGCUAAUGAAUAAAGAAACCAAACAGUUAGAAGCACUACAAUCCAAGUGGUAGCUAAAGGGCAACAAGACAGGAACAGUAAUGGCCAACAAAUUGAAAAAAAGAGAAACAUAAAAGAGUAAUAGUUAAAAUAAAAGACAAAGAAACCUAUUUAAUGGCCCCAGAAAAAAUAGGUAGAGCGUUUCAGAGAUUUUAUCAGAAUCUAUAUAACCUAUCAAAAUAAAUAUUUGGCCAUGAAAACCAGAUUGAGGAAUUCUUCGAAAACUUACCCAUGCCAAAAAUCUUACCUGACCAAUUAAAGCUGAUAAACCAGCCUAUAACAGAAGUAGAAGUCAGUAAAUCUAUAGAUAAGCUUAAAAUAAAGACCGCCUGUUGCUGCCUUCACCCCACCUCCUCUUUUCUAUUCUGUACCCACUCCCUGUCUUUAUUUGAAAUGAAAGACUGCCCCAAAUAAAUUUUAUAAACUAAUGAAAGGCCGACUAAUAGGGGAACUCACCCCCAUUUUCAACUACAUAAUGAAAACAGGAAGCUGUACUGGAGUGUUGUUGAGAGCGAACAUUGUCCCCAUCUCAAAGUAGAUAAAGACCCAGAACUGAUUGACAAUUACAGACCUAUAUCACUAAUCAAUACAGAUGUUAAAAAUGUAUCUUCCAUCCUUGCUGAUAGAUUCAAAAUAGUUGCAACACAAUUAAUCAAUAAUGACCAAGUAGGAUUUAUACCAGGAAGGUCUUCAAUCAACAAUCUUAGCAAAAUAAUAAAUAUAUUAAAAGAAACCAAGAUUAAUGGAACCCUUCUAAUGUUACUGUCAAUAGACGCAGAGAAAGCAUUUGACAGGGUUUGAGGGGGAUUCAUGUUUGCUACCUUAAAACAGUUUGGAAUCACUGGAUCAAUAUUACAAGCUAUAUCCGCUCUCUACAACUCUCCAUCAGCUAAAGUAACAGGGUCAGGAUUCACAGCACAAAACAAGAGUGCCUUCUUCCCCCUCUAUUGCACAUCAUGGUGUUAGAACCGCUUGUGAUUUUAAUAAGAUAAAAUAAAAAAAAUUAAGAAUUUACAAAAAUAAAUUAAAUAUUUUUACAGAUUACAUCUUACUAACAUUAGAAGAACCAAAAACCUCAGUCCCAGAGCUAUUGAAGGAGAUAAACAAAUAUUCUAAAGUUUCAGGAUCCAAAAUAAAUCUAGAGAAAUCAAUAUUUAUAGCUAAAAAUAUGAAUAAAUGGUUAAUUAAUUUUCUUGUACAAACCCUUGGGCUACCGAAAACAAGGACAGGCUUAAAUAUUUAGGCAUAACCUUAACCUGAGAUCUAAAAGAUCUAGUAGAAGCAAAUGUUUUACCUUUACUAAUACACUGGGCACAAGAGGUUCUCUCUCCAAAAGUAAAUGGGUAAAGCAAAUCUGAUAAACAAGAAUUUACAAUAGGAAUUAAACAAAGGGUUGGGGGGAGAUUGGGGAUCCAGGUGGGGAGGUUUAGGGAGUUUAACAGGAUAAAAUUAGAUAUUUAUGAUGACAAGAGUACCAAGGUACCAAAAUAAUAAAAACUUAAGGGACUGUAAAGGUAUGGCCUUUUCUUGGUCGGGUAGGAUCAACAUUCUAAAAGCAUACAUUUUACCAAAAUGACUGUAUCUGUGGAGAAUGAUCCCACUCAAUUUCCCAGAAAACUGGCUAUCUUUACUACAUACAUCCUUUUUUUUAAAAAAUUGUAUGGGGUGGCAAGAAAGUAAGAGUUAAAAUGAAAGUUUUGGGCAGAUCAAGGCAGGAUGGAGGUUUGGGGUGCCCGGAAAUUUUACAAUAUUAUCAGGCUAGCAGACUCUUUCAUAUAUUGCUCUCACAAAAUAAUGCUGAAACUCAAGAAACAUGGAAUAAAAUGGAACAAGCUAAAACAGGGGUAGGAAACCUAACCUCAGUAUUUUGGGUCCUAGAUGUGAAUAAAAAAAUUUAUCAAAGAGGCACGAACUAAAUCCCAGAUACUCAAAGAGUUAACAAGUUGGUGGGACAAAUUCACAAUCAACAUAGAACUCAGACAUAGAAUAAUAGAUGUGCUCCCAUUUUCCAGUAUUUCAGAUAUGUUAGACAACAUAAAAUAGAUACUUGGAGGAAUGGGGGGAUAACGGAAUUUACAAAUAUACUAGCUGAACAUGAAAUUAAAAACUUCAAUCAAAUUAUGGAGGAAUUCAACAUUCCCCACAAAGAAACCUUUAACUAUCUGCGAAUUAUGGGCUUCCUAGCAGAAUAUCUCCUUCAAAACAGGGGGGAGAAAAUUACAAUCCUUAAACAUCUACUCAAAUUAAAGAAUUAUAGAAACCUAUUGGCAAAAUGUGCUAAAGUUAUAUACAGAUGGAGACACGAUAAAUGGAUAGAACUGAUUAAUAAAUGGGAAAAAGAACUACAAGUACAUAUAGAAGAAUAAGCGUGGAUAAGCUCUCUAAAUAAACUAAAUAAUUAUGUAUGUUGCCUAAACCUUACGGAAACCCAAUUCAAAGUCUCAAACAGAUGGUACCUAACACCGAAAUGUUUAAAGUCAUCAGACAGAAGCUGGAAAUGUAAUAUCAAUGAAGAUAAUUUGAUCCACAGUUGGUGGCAGUGCACACCCAUAAAAACAUUCUGGAAAGAUGUAAUCAAGGUAAUACAUCAAAUAACGGAAAUAAAAUUAGUUUUUAAGCUGCUAAACUUGUACUGGCCACAAAUGACAAAAAAAAACCCACUAAUAAUAAUGCUACAUUACACCAGCUAAAGUACUUUUAGCACGAAAUUCAAAAAUAAGGUGAAUCCCACACACCCAAGAAUUAAUAUAACAACAGUUAUAUGGCAAGCAAGAAUGGAAAAGAGGAACCCGGUAAACCUAUGAAACAGAUAUACUCAAAUAAAAGACUGGGAAACAUAGAUAUUCAAAAUGGAAAUGAUAAUCUAAUAAAUAUCACCACCACUACUCUCCUCCCUUAUAAACUUAGUAUGCAAUAAUUAAAACAGGUAUAGUUAAGGUCUAGACACAGCGAGGUGAUGGCCAGAAAAGGAGGAGGGGAGGAAAAGAAAAAAAGGAAAAUAACAACCCCUAAACAGGCAGACAAAACAAAAUAACAAAACAAUGAAAAUACACUGGGCACAAGAGGUUCUCUCUCCAAAAGUAAAUGGGUAAAGCAAAUCUGAUAAACAAGAAUUUACAAUAGGAAUUAAACAAAGGGUUGGGGGGAGAUUGGGGAUCCAGGUGGGGAGGUUUAGGGAGUUUAAUAGGAUAAAAUUAGAUAUUUAUGAUGACAAGAGUACCAAGGUACCAAGGGUAGGUGGGGAGAUUGGGGAUCCGGGUGGUGAGGUUUAGGGAGUUUAAUAGGAUAACACAAGAUAUUUAUGAUGACAAGAGUACCAAGGCCUGAACCACAGAAGCAUCAGAAAACUAUAAAAAACAAAACAAAAAAAAACAAGGAAGAAGAAAAAAAGUGGAAAAUUCGGGGAUUUCACUUGAUACCAAGCCAAGGCCAGGUAGACCAAAAAAGAUUUCAGCCCCAACUGAAAGAAGAAUUGUUCGGGAUACAAAGCAAAAACCCACAGGUAACCUUGGGAGAAAUACAGGCUACUCUGGAAAAAGACAGUGUGGUUGUUUCAAGGAGCACAAUACGACGAUACUUGAACGAAUAUGAGCUCCAUGGAUCUAGAUACCAGAAAUGAGCCUUUACUGUGCCAAUACCACAAAAACGUCUGGUUACAAUAUGCCCGACAAAACCUUGACACACCUCACAGCUUCUGGCACACUGUAAUUUGUAGUGUCGAGACCAAAAUAGAGCUUUAUGGUCUCAGCCAUAAGCGCUAUGUUUGGAGAGGGGUCAACAAGGCCUAUCGUGAAAAGAAUACCAUCACCACUGAAAAGCAUGGUGGUGGCUCACUUUUAUGGGUGAGUGAGCUCUAAAGGCACAGGGAAUCGUGUGACAAUUGAUGGCAAGAUGAAUGCAGCAUGUUAUCCGAAAAUACUGGCAGACAAUUUAAAUUCUCCAGGACGAGGGCUGCACAUGGGACGCUCUUGGACAUUCCAGCAAGACAAUGACCCUACGCACAAGGGUUGACCUUCCAAUGGUUACAGCAGGAAAAGGUGAAGGUUCUGGAGUGACCAUCAUAGUCUCCUGACCUUGAUAUCAUUGGGAACUGCAACAGGCGGAAUGACAGAUGCCAGUUGAUAAAUGAUAUAUACUUUUAUCCAUCUGCCACACUCUUUUAAAAAGGAUUUAAAGAUAAUAGUAAAACGUCUUAGCGAAUACAGAGAUGUAACAUUUUUCAUGCGCUAUUUAGGAUGUCCUCCAACAGCUAAAUGAAUAAUAUGUUCCAGAUCCCCUUGUUUCUAAUGGGUAGUUAGGUGUCAACGUGAUCAUUUGUACUUGCUAUUGUUAAAUUAUCACUCGUUUUUUGUUAGAGCAUACCAUAUAUUUUAUUCUCCCUUGAACUUGUUUUUUUGGGGGACCAUGUCCCAUUUUGAUAGUCAUACUUUUAAAAAUCUCAAUAAAAGACAUUAUCUAAAAGAUAAUCACCCUGUCUGAUAUGCUCAAUUCUAAUUUAGUGCAUUUAGUAGAAUACUUUUAAAAUAGAGUUACUAAACUGUAGCAAAGUCACCAACACUGUUAGCUAUACUCUCCAGCUUAAAGUAAAUCUACCCCAAAAAGCUUAUGUUAUUUUAACUGUUCACUAUAAUAUGGCAUUAUAUUCAGCGCCUGUGGCAACAAAUGAUGUUUCUGUAUGUAAUUCAGUUAUAUUUAUUUGUUUAGUGUUAUAGAAUUUCAGCCUCCCGGUCAGCUAACACUUGUUUUGUGUAUGUAUUUUUAAUAUGCCUUGAAAAAUAUACACCCUAGGGAAAUCUGCAAAUGGGCUUGAUGUAAAAUGCUCUUACAGAGAGUUAGGAUCUAUGUGACAAUAUCUCUGUUCAAAAAACUACCCUUGGGACAUUUAUAUAGACAGAAAAAUAAAGGUUGAAAUUAUUAUGGCUGACUAACUAUAUUGCAUGUUGUAACAUUGUAGCAAAAUACCGAGUACACCUUAGAUAUAUAAUAUUUCUAGUUAAAAAAUUAAAAUUAAAAAAAUUCAGUUCAGAAAGUACAUUUAAAUAUGGGAUUUUCUCUAAUUCUGAUCUACUUUAGCUAGGCUUGAAAUCUGCUGUUUAAUUAAUAAUUCUGCAUGCUCAUAUUAAAUGUUCACUUCACGACUAUAGUCUUUUUAAAAUAUACACAUAGAAUAUAGAAUAUAAACAUACAAGAUCCUGUUAGAUUAUACAUAAUUUGAUUAGGGCAUUUAUUUUGUUAGAUAAACCAUGGCUCUCUUUAAAACAGGACAAAAAGGGUAGCUAGAAAGAAAAAAGAAGAGCAGAAUCAUCUCAUAGUUUGUGAGAUAAAUGGCCCCUGGAUAUAUAGCAGUAUCCUAAGAAAUUAAGGGGUAAGUGGCUACAGUGAAAGCAACUGUAACAAGACUGGAGAAGUAACAAAAAUUACUAAUUAGUUAUAUACAAUAAAACCCAAGCCUUGUAAGGCUAUUCCUUUACCUCACACUACUGUACAACCAGGAAGUUAGAACGGCAUGCACACAGCUGGCUUUAUUAAAAAGUUGGCCAAUAUGAGCAUUGUUCAAUAAAGGGUAAAUCCCAAGCAGUGAGUAGUUAGAUUCCUUGUCUAUAGAGAGUCAAUUCCCUGAUGCUUAAGGAAUUGUGGUAUCUCAAAUAUAGUGGGGUACCAGUGAUUGUAUGUCUAUAUCCUCUUUAAAUGCUAUAUAGAAGGAACCAGUAUGUCCAGAGGUACGCCUUCUUGCUUGCAGAUAUAUAGAUAUAUAUAAAUGGUAUUACCAUGUCCAAGUGGAUCCUCUUAGUAUGUUGAGUCCACAGAUGAGCACCUAUAGGAAAAAAUUAAAGUAGGAUAGAACAAGCCACUCCUUGGAAUCUAACUUAAUAGGAGCUCUUUUUUUCCAGGUAGGCAUUGUCCCCUCUGCCUAUUCCUCUGCAGUCCUUCUUGCAGGCAGGCAUGAACCUCUGCCUGCAAUGUGAUAUAUUCUGUCUUUAUAAAGACACUUGCAGCUCUCAGGUCUAGCUUUCUUUUUAAAAUCCAAGGGCGGUAAAUGGGAUAAAGUGCGAUACAAACAGUGCAGGCUAGCCACUCAAAUUAGGGGAUCAAUCCCAAAUCCCAAAAGACACAAGUAAACAAGUAGUAUAGUUGCAAACAUAUAGCAGUGAGGGCGCCACAGUCACAAACGUGCAAAUAUAUUUACCAUACGAAUAGUAGGAUUAGGCAUGUAUGGAAACAAAAAGGAAUAUAUACUUAGUGAAAAAUUUAAUAACACAGAUAAAACAAGUACUACAAACAAUAGAUACACUCACAAAUAUAGUGGCACAAAAAAUAAAUACUUCUAAUUGUGCUAGAGAGCUUGUCAGCCACUGCAGGGCUAAGUCCCCGUAUGGUGAAUAUCAGCCUUGGUGCCUCAGGAUGUCAGUCACACGCUUAUUUCAGAAAUUCUUCAGAUGAAGUGUAAGAGUGAAGGUGUUGGUAGAUCCAGCAGGUAUAGGCUGUAGGAUUGAAGUCUUUGGAGAUACCUCAAGCUUUCUUCUGCUCAACAUGUUUCGUCUAGUGACUUUUUCAAGAGCUGUGUCUUUUACUCUGUUCCGGCUGUUUAAAUAUCAUGAAUUGCGCGGCUUUUUAUAGUAUGCGCAUGCGCACAACAGUGAACGUAAUCAUGUGCGCACUUCCAGCCUGAACCACAAAUAGCUGUAUUGACAAUCUACGCCGGGUGAUACUGUUCCGUUCAGGACCAUCGGAUCCUACUGAACUGAGUGUAUUAGCGAUAAAAAAACCUCCUAAGAAGGAAAAUAUAAAAUUCUGGCUACAGUGAAAGCAACUGUAACAAGACUGGAGAAGUAACAAAAAUUACUAAUUAGUUAUAUACAAUAAAACCCAAGCCUUAUAAGGCUAUUCCUUUACCUCACACUACUGUACAACCAGGAAGUUAGAACGGCAUGCACACAGCUGGCUUUAUUAAAAAGUUGGCCAAUAUGAGCAUUGUUCAAUAAAGGGUAAAUCCCAAGUAGUGAGUAGUUAGAUUCCUUGUCUAUAGAGAGUCAAUCCCCUGAUGCUUAAGGAAUUGUGGUAUCUCAAAUAUAGUGGGGUACCAGUGAUUGUAUGUCUAUAUCCUCUUUAAAUGCUAUAUAGAAGGAACCAGUAUGUCCAGAGGUACGCCUUCUUGCUUACAGAUAUAUAGAUAUAUUUAAAUGGUAUUACAAGGUCCAAGUGGAUCCUCUUAGUAUGUUGAGUCCACAGAUGAGCACCUAUAGAAAAAAAUUAAAGUAGGAUAGAACAAGCCACUCUUUUUUGGAAUCUAACUUAAUAGGAGCUCUUUUUUUCCAGGCGGUAUUGUCCCCUCUGCCUAUUCCUCUGCAGUCCUUCUUGCAGGCAGGCAUGCACCUCUGCCUGCAAUGUGAUAUAUCCUGCCUUUAUAAAGACACUUGCAGCUCUCAGGUCUAGCUUUCUUUUUAAAAUCCAAGGGCGGUAAAUGGGAUAAAGUGCGAUACAAACAGUGCAGGCUAGCCACUCAAAUUAGGGGAUCAAUCCCAAAUCCCAAAAGACACAAGUAAACAAGUAGUAUAGUUGCAAACAUAUAGCAGUGAGGGCGCCACAGUCACAAACGUGCAAAUAUAUUUACCAUACGAAUAGUAGGAUUAGGCAUGAAUGGAAACAAAAAGGAAUAUAUACAUAGUGAAGUAUUUAAUAACACAGAUAAAACAAGUACUACAAACAAUAGAUACACUCACAAAUAUAGUGGCACAAAAAAUAAAUACUUCUAGUCAUUAGUUUGUGAUUAACCCCCCUAGUUAACCCACCUAGUUUGUAGCAAAAAUCAGCAGGGCAGGAGAGCACACAAAAUAAUUAACAAUAGACAAAUACGUUAUACACACUCUGCACCUAUAAUGGGUACACAGUGACUUAGACAUAUGAGUAGUCCAGGGUCCUACAUAAAUGUUUAGGCUUUAUAGUUCCUCAACUGGCUGUGUUAGAGACAGGCUGCUUAAAUUAAGCCUCAAUUUAAGUAAUAACUGACUCCGGCACUUUAUAACUGCAGAUGGGUUACCUCAGGAGUGAGGUCACCAGAUAAUUUUACGCCAAUCAGUGAAUGAAAUUUAGUAGCUUUAAACAGGCAGCAUCUAAGACAAAUCAUAGUAUAUGCACUAGACCAUGGGUCGUCAACCUGGUCCCUACCGCCCACUAGUGGGCGUUUCAGGAUUCCAGGUGGGCGGUAGGGAUUUCAGAGAUUGGGUAGGCGGAAGGGAGGGCGGGUGCGAGCCGGCGGUACCAGUGCGACCGGGUACCGCCGUCACCAUUUUCGUCACCGUUUGCCACGCGGGCCGGGGCCGCCAACCAAGGGGUCCAUCGGGUGGCCCAUGCUGUCAGGGCCACCCGAUGGAUGUGCAUUGAGAAGGGGCNNNNNNNNNNNNNNNNNNNNNNNNNNNNNNNNNNNNNNNNNNNNNNNNNNNNNNNNNNNNNNNNNNNNNNNNNNNNNNNNNNNNNNNNNNNNNNNNNNNNCCCCACUCAAUUUUCUUCCAUCCCUCUCCCCCUCCCCCACCCCCACUCACUCAAAUUUUCUCCCUGACGCCCGGUGGGCGCGCGAGGGAGCACUCUCUGUGUGCUUCCUCUUCAGCUCCCUCGCGCGCUGCGUACUGAUGCCGGAGCCGGAAGAUGACGUCAUCUUCCGGCUCCGGCAUCAGUAAGGUGCCGUAGGGAGCUGGAGAGGAAGCACACAGAGAGUGCUCCCUCGCACGCCCACCGGGUGGCAGCAGGGCCAGCCUCUGGGGGGCCCUGAGGUGACCGGCUGCUGGGCCCCCCAGGAGAAGAGGCUGGCCCUGUGCGUACAUACCGGGGUCGCAGGGCCCCCUGCGACCCGGUAUGUACCCACUGAAUGUGGGGCCCGGACGACCUGAGCAGUCCGGGCCCCCCAGGACCGCCGGGCCCAUGACAACCGUUGCGGUUGUCAUGCCCUGAUGGCGGCCCUGGUUGUCGCUGUAAAGGGGGGCAGGGGCUAAGAGGAGCCACAGGGGCAAUAGAACGGGGCCGGGGAUAUAGAAAGGGGCACAGGGGCUAUAGAAAGAAGGACAAGGGGAUGUAGAGAGGAGGAUAUGGACAGUAGAGGGGGGCAUGGGCUGUAGAAGGGGUGGGCAAGAGCACAGGGUCAAUAGAAGGGGUGGGGGUGGGGGUGGGGGCUGUAGAAAGGAGGUCAGGGGCUGUAGAGAGGGGGAUAUGGGCUGUAGAGUGGGCACAGGGGCUAUAUAAUGGAUGAGCAGGGGUUGUAGAAGGGAAGGCACAGUGGCUGUAAAGGGGGAACAGGGGAUAAAGAAGGGGUGGACAGGGGCUGUAAAAGGGGGCACAGGGGCUAUAGAAAGGGGAACAGGGGCUGUAGAGGAGCACAGGGGCUAUAGAAGGGAGGGCCUGGGGCUGUAGAGGGGCAGGUGCUAAAGAAGGGAUGGGAAAGGGCUAUAGAAAGGGGAACAGGGGCAUAAUGUUGAAGUUAGCAUCAUAACAGGGGCUGUAGAAGGGGUGGGCAAAGGCUUUAGAGGGCUGCAAAAGAAAAAUAAUUCUAAGUAUGUCACCCCCACCCCUCAGGCUAUGGAAGGGUGGGCAGCCGGGCAGGUUCCAGGAGCCUGGAACUGAAGCCUGGAGCAGGAGCCUGUAGAGAGCACAGAGCAGCCAGGGAAGUCGGCCGGACUCUCUUGAUGAUGUCAGGAGGAGGGGGCGUGACCUCCACAGCUCUUCUCCAAGACUCACUAGCGGAUUGCUGUGGAAGUCACACCCCUUCCUCCUGACAUCAUCAGGAGAGGCCGUCAGACUCCAUUGACUGCUCUGUUCUGGCAGGCAGCAGGGAGACAGGUUAGUUGAAAAAUCCGAGUCUCCAGCCUGAGGCAGGGGAUUCAGGUGUUUUGCACCCCCCCUGCUCUGGCGCCCUAAGGCGGCCGUCUGUGCCACCUUAUGGAUGCGCCGGCCAUGGUAAGCAGACAAGUCUGCAAUCCAAGCCUAGUCCCAAGCUUUGUUCAUUAUUUUAAGGGUUAGCUUAACUGGCGAUAAUAGGCCUAAAUCAAUUUAACACCUCUAAUAUUUGAGAGUCGAUUUAUACACCAGCAUGGGACACCACCAUAUGCUCCUUCUUUUUUCCUGAAUUGGUCACUUUUCAUUUGAUCGGUGAAUAAAAUUAAUAUGUAGUGGUUGUCCCGUAGCCAUAAAUCAUGAUUCAUGAGGGCAUUUAAUUAUUAACUGCAAGCAUGCAUUUGUAGGAUUCCAUGCAGAUAACUUUGUAAUAUUUAUGUAUAACUGUCUUGUUUAAAACAGAUGGGUGGUGCUGCUGGGAUUGGAAUGGGUUUAUGGACAUUGCUGGAGAAGAGUAGCUACAUAACGUUCCUUGCUAAUAGCACUCUAUCUGUGUCUGCAUAUAUCCUACUCUUUGCUGG